rnacentral:misc_RNA from 1 species
GAAAUUGCUUGUUUCAUGAAGAGGCUACAUUAAGUUUUGCCAUUAGCAGCCCCAUUCACCAGCAGCUCAAUGCAAAUGACACUUGCAUUUCAUGAAAAACAUUAUUUCACUCAAAAACCACAGCACAUGUAUCAUGUUUAAAUUGCAAAUCAUAAAUUUAGUAUCUGUACAUAAAUAUCAAGCAAGUUUGCACCCCCAACUCCAACAAGAAUACAAAGCUGUCAUCAAAACCUGGAUGCCAACCCAAACAAAACAUAGUGCCAUUAAAGCCAUGCAGAAAAAUAAAGAUGAUGGUCAGACAUAAAUAAACCCUGUUAGACACAGAAGAAUCCCACUUCAACAAAGCUGAAAUUCAGCUAUUUAAAAUCGUCAUACUGACCACUAUAAGUACAGUGACUGACACUCAAUUCUUUGAUUUCGAAUGCUUUACCAGCCAAUCGAUAACUGUAUCAAUGUUAGUGCAGUUUUUGCAUGAUAUCAUGAAGCAACACACUUCUCUGUCAGUAAUAGAUUUGAGCCCCAAUUGUUCUGUAAAGUCUUGUUUAGACAAAGCACCCGGUUUGUCAAUUUUGUUCCCCAGCACCAGCAAGGGAAUACCUUUCAGUGAGGGCUUACUCAAAAGGUCAUGAAGUUCACUUCUUGAAACAGAUAAAUUAUCAAAAUCAGCAGCAUCCACAACAUAUACAAUAGCUGAAACUGCACGGCAGUAUCUCUCCCACAUGCUGCGAAACCUUGGUUGACCUCCGAGAUCCCACAACUUUAUUGUGACAUUACCUUUUGUUACCUUCUUCAUAUUAAAUCCUACUGUUGGGAUCAUGUCUUCACUGUAUCCACCAGUUGCAAUAACAUUUACAAGUGAUGUUUUCCCAGCAUUCUGAAGUCCUAUCAGAGACAACUCCAUUUCUUGCUUGAAAAAGAGACUUCGCAGCCAAUUGAGAAAAGCUUCCCAUAAUCCCAUCUUUCUCUUUAUUUAAUUUCAACGAAACAAACAAGAACUAAGGGUUUCGAUUUAAACCCAAUAAAAAGAUUGAUCUGUAGAUGAGAAAAAUCAGACCUUUUGAGUUCCUAUCCCUCCUCAAUUAUUGAAUUCAAUUCCCUCGCUAUUUAAAAUGGAAAUCCA